rnacentral:lncRNA from 1 species
AGAGUAGGUUUCAUAUUUUGAUCACAGAUCACUCAAAUUAACUCAGAAUUUAGCAUGGUUUAAGGCGUUGGAAAAUACAUUCAUAGAGCUAUAAUUUCACAGAAGAAAUCAUUUUGAAAUUCGGAACACAACUAGCUCGAAUUUGAGUUACAAGUUGCAGCCUCAGCAUUUUGUUCUUGUAAAGCAGAGAAACAGAACAGCCGACUUAAAAUAGUUGGUUUGGCUCACAUACAUGGAACCAGAAUGUGAAUUUUAUAUCGUCGGAAAGGUUGGAAUGUCUAGUUUCAAAUGCCGCUGACGGCACUCGAUUUCGACAUCGGAGUUCAAAAUUAUGGCCGAAAUACGAAAGCUGGUCAGAGCAUUUCGGGAAUAGUUCCAGAUUUACUAGCUUUGUUAAAUCGAUUUAUUUGACCAACCAAACCUCAAUAUUUUUCAAUGAAACUUUGUACACCAUAUAUUCAACAUAUCAACAUGAUAUACAAGUCAUGAAACUCUCAAAAUUUUGCAAAAAGGGUUGCGAUUAAAACAGGGCAAAUCUGAACAUUUUUUUUGAACGAUGCAUCUUCUGGAGUCUAGACUAGCUAGGUAUCAUUAAUCUACCUAUUUAAACACUAAACUAGCAUUAUAUCCAUCAUCAAUCCAAGGGUGGGAGUUCAUAGAGCCCACCAUCAAAAUUUUCCGACAUGAAAUAAAACAAAUAACAUGUAAUUUUGGCAAAUAAUUCCACCACAAUAAAUCUGUCAUCGGCUAAACAGAAUUUCCAGCAGCUAAUUGGUCAUAACCCAACUUUUUACUCGGCUAAAACAUGAUAUUAAGUACUCAAUUUCAGCAUGCAAAUACUUGACUAGCUAAUCAGAUCAUCC